rnacentral:rRNA from 1 species
GCGGCGUGCCUAAUACAUGCAAGUAGAACGCUGAAGGAGGAGCUUGCUCUUCUGGAUGAGUUGCGAACGGGUGAGUAACGCGUAGGUAACCUGCCUGGUAGCGGGGGAUAACUAUUGGAAACGAUAGCUAAUACCGCAUAAGAGUAGAUGUUGCAUGACAUUUGCUUAAAAGGUGCAAUUGCAUCACUACCAGAUGGACCUGCGUUGUAUUAGCUAGUUGGUGGGGUAACGGCUCACCAAGGCGACGAUACAUAGCCGACCUGAGAGGGUGAUCGGCCACACUGGGACUGAGACACGGCCCAGACUCCUACGGGAGGCAGCAGUAGGGAAUCUUCGGCAAUGGACGGAAGUCUAACCGAGCAACGCCGCGUGAGUGAAGAAGGUUUUCGGAUCGUAAAGCUCUGUUGUAAGAGAAGAACGAGUGUGAGAGUGGAAAGUUCACACUGUGACGUAUCUACCAGAAAGGACGCA